rnacentral:rRNA from 2 species
AAUCGCUAGUAAUCGUGGAUCAGAAUGCCACGGUGAAUACGUUCCCGGGCCUUGUACACACCGCCCGUCACACCAUGGGAGUGGACUGCACCAGAAGUGGUUAGCCUAACGCAAGAGGGCGAUCACCACGGUGUGGUUCAUGACUGGGGUGAAGUCGUAACAAGGUAGCCGUAGGGGAACCUGCGGCUGGAUCACCUCCUUAAACGA